CCCUCGCUCUCAGGUCCUGUCGUGAUGCCAUCACCGUACGUACAAAAGGCAGUCUCUCGUGAGUGUCGUACACGACCUGAGUGGCUGGUAGAUCUGGAGCUCAUCAGUACACUCUACACGCAGUCAUGGAGAUCGCCUUUCCCAUUCUGUUCCUGACUGUCGCAUGUGCACUCCUUGGUGCUUUGGCCUAUCCAAAAGUGGCUCAAGGAGGAGGAGAAGUUGUCGACAUUUGCCAACUGCCGCCUGUCACGGGUGAUUUCAUAUGUAUGGGCUACGGAGAAAUGUUCACCUUCAACUUUACCCAGCAAAAAUGCGUCAAGUAUAUUUACGGUCUCUGUGGUGGUACAGCAAACUUGUUUGGUACGGAAGAGGAAUGCAAGGCGAGAUG